rnacentral:rRNA from 2 species
GUCGAGCGGACUUAAAAAGCUUGCUUUUUAAGUUAGCGGCGGACGGGUGAGUAACACGUGGGCAACCUGCCUGUAAGACUGGGAUAACUUCGGGAAACCGGAGCUAAUACCGGAUAAUCCUUUCCUACUCAUGUAGGAAAGCUGAAAGACGGUUUACGCUGUCACUUACAGAUGGGCCCGCGGCGCAUUAGCUAGUUGGUGAGGUAACGGCUCACCAAGGCGACGAUGCGUAGCCGACCUGAGAGGGUGAUCGGCCACACUGGGACUGAGACACGGCCCAGACUCCUACGGGAGGCAGCAGUAGGGAAUCUUCCGCAAUGGACGAAAGUCUGACGGAGCAACGCCGCGUGAGUGAUGAAGGUUUUCGGAUCGUAAAACUCUGUUGUUAGGGAAGAACAAGUACGAGAGUAACUGCUCGUACCUUGACGGUACCUAACCAGAAAGCCACGGCUAACUACGUGCCAGCAGCCGCGGUAAUACGUAGGUGGCAAGCGUUGUCCGGAAUUAUUGGGCGUAAAGCGCGCGCAGGCGGUCCUUUAAGUCUGAUGUGAAAGCCCACGGCUCAACCGUGGAGGGUCAUUGGAAACUGGGGGACUUGAGUGCAGAAGAGAAGAGUGGAAUUCCACGUGUAGCGGUGAAAUGCGUAGAGAUGUGGAGGAACACCAGUGGCGAAGGCGACUCUUUGGUCUGUAACUGACGCUGAGGCGCGAAAGCGUGGGGAGCAAACAGGAUUAAAUACCCUGGUAGUCCACGCCGUAAACGAUGAGUGCUAAGUGUU